GACGAAGGGGGCUAGCGUUGUUCGGAAUUACUGGGCGUAAAGCGCGUGUAGGCGGUUGCCCAAGUCGGGUGUGAAAGCCUUGAGCUCAACUCAAGAAAUGCACUCGGUACUGGGUGACUAGAGGACCGGAGAGGAGACUGGAAUUUACGGUGUAGCGGUGAAAUGCGUAGAUAUCGUAAGGAAGACCAGUGGCGAAGGCGGGUCUCUGGACAGUUCCUGACGCUGAGGCACGAAGGUCAGGGGAGCAAACGGG
rnacentral:rRNA from 1 species